CACGGGGGGAGCAAGCGUUGUUCGGAUUCAUUGGGCGUAAAGGGCUCGUAGGUGGCUUUGUAAGUCGGAGGUGAAAUCCCACGGCUCAACCGUGGACACGCCUUCGAAACUGUGAAGCUUGAGGCUGGGAGAGGAGAUCGGAAUUCCUGGUGUAGCGGUAAAAUGCGUAGAUAUCGGGAGGAACACCAAGUGGCGAAGGCAGCUCGCUGGGACGUGACUGACGCUGAGACGCGAAAGCGUGGGGAGCAAACAGG
rnacentral:rRNA from 1 species